UCAGUCGACUCCUACGGGGAGGCAGCAGUGGGGGAAUAUUGCACAAUGGGCGCAAGCCUGAUGCAGCCAUGCCGCGUGUGUGAAGAAGGCCUUCGGGUUGUAAAGCACUUUCAGUUGUGAGGAAGGUGGUGUCGUUAAUAGCGGCAUCAUUUGACGUUAGCAACAGAAGAAGCACCGGCUAACUCCGUGCCAGCAGCCGCGGUAAUACGGAGGGUGCGAGCGUUAAUCGGAAUUACUGGGCGUAAAGCGCAUGCAGGUGGUUUGUUAAGUCAGAUGUGAAAGACCCGGGGCUCAACCUCGGAACUGCAUUUGAAACUGGCAGACUAGAGUACUGUAGAGGGGGGUAGGAAUUUCAGGUGUAGCGGUGAAAUGCGUAGAGAUCUGAAGGAAUACCGGUGGCGAAGGCGGCCCCCUGGACAGAUACUGACACUCAGAUGCGAAAGCGUGGGGAGCAAACAGGAUUAGAUACCCUGGUAG
rnacentral:rRNA from 1 species